rnacentral:rRNA from 1 species
ACGAACGCUGGCGGCGUGCUUAACACAUGCAAGUCGAACGAUGAAAGCUGGAGCUUGCUCCGGCUGGAUUAGUGGCGAACGGGUGAGUAACACGUGAGUAACCUGCCCCUCUCUCUGGGAUAACUUCGGGAAACCGAAGCUAAUACCGGAUACGACCCUCGGAGGCAUCUCCUGGGGGUGGAAAGAAUUUCGGUGAGGGAUGGACUCGCGGCCUAUCAGGUAGUUGGUGAGGUAACGGCCCACCAAGCCUACGACGGGUAGCCGGCCUGAGAGGGUGACCGGCCACACUGGGACUGAGACACGGCCCAGACUCCUACGGGAGGCAGCAGUGGGGAAUAUUGCACAAUGGGCGCAAGCCUGAUGCAGCAACGCCGCGUGAGGGACGACGGCCUUCGGGUUGUAAACCUCUUCUAGCAGGGAAGAAGCGAAAGUGACGGUACCUGCAGAAAAAGCACCGGCUAACUACGU